UCACGCUCAAGCACGCCUACUGACGACUCUACAUACUACCAAAAGUAGAGUAUUAAUAUAUAGUUGAGUGAACUCUUAAGUGAUUUGUUAUUUUGUAGUUGUACACGAUUGUCCUGUGUUUGUGUGAGAGAGAGUUAGAAUAUUAAUUGUAUAGAUAAAAGGAGAGCAUCGUUAAUUAGGUACUUUAAUUAAGGAUUGUAGUAUUAAAAA
rnacentral:lncRNA from 1 species